GCGGCAGUAGCUCAGUGGUAGAGCCCCGCUUCGCAUGCGGGGAGACCUGGGUUCGAUUCCUGGCUGCUUCC
rnacentral:tRNA from 1 species